AUGAUUUCCUCCUCCCCUCCACUUCUCUACUCCUCUGCCCGCCCCCCGCGCAUGGUCGCCGUCGCUCAUUUCUUCCUCUCCCGCGUUCGUCCCGGCGGCGGUGACGACUUGCAGGCAAAGGCAACAGCGGCGACGCUCUACCAAUCCGCUCACGUCCUUGAGCCCCGCGCAUCUCCACUUUCUCUUUGUUUCUCUCCUCCUCUUCUCGAUCUCCGGCGCAUGGCCGCUGCCGCUCAUCGCUGGCAUCUUCAAGCAAUUAAUUCUCAAUCCAGAAAUAGGUUUCAGUCUGAUCUAAUCCAUUCAUCAUGCAUUAUUUUCAAGUUAUUUUUCUCCAACCAAAUCAGUGAUAAAAAUUCCAGUGAUCUGUGCAAAGUAUUUUGA
rnacentral:rRNA from 1 species